CGGAAGCUUUGAUCAAGACUACCCGAGAGGGAGGCCGAUACCAAAAGUUGGCAGUUUCGCUGAUAGCACCUUCCCAUUCCCAUGAAGGUGUUUCAUUAGUAACGUGCCAUACACGAUGGUUCUAUCAUAUUUCCUAUCAGCUUCCUGCAAAAAGUGAUCUUUCUCUGUUAUUCGACUUAUUUUUUUUCGAGGUUUAGAAAAAUAUAUAGGAUUUUACAUAUGAAUUUAUAUAAUCUUCAUUAUUCUUCUUUUUUCCUUUGUGAUUUAGAACUUGGAGUUUACUCUUAGAUGAAGACUGAAUAGGGGUUGAUCUAUAUAUUAAAUUCUUGACCUGUAAAAUGCUUUGUUCUGUUGUUUAUGUGAAAAAUUCAUAGUGGUUUGAUCAA